rnacentral:rRNA from 1 species
CCCUUAGAUGUUCUGGGCCGCACGCGCGCUACACUGACGAAGUCAGCGAGCAUGUCCUACGCCGACAGGUGCGGGGAAUCUUGUCAAACUUCGUCGUGAUGGGGAUUGAUUAUUGAAAUUCUUGAUCAUCAACGAGGAAUUCCUAGUAAGCGCAAGUCAGCAGCUUGCGUUGAUUACGUCCCUGCCCUUUGUACACACCGCCCGUCGCUACUACCGAUUGAAUGGUUUAGUGAGAUCUUCGGAUUGGCGCCACUGCGGCUCAGCAAUGGGCUCGGUGGAUGCCGAAAAGUUGAUCAAACUUGAUCAUUGAGAGGAAGUAAAAGUCGUAACA